rnacentral:lncRNA from 1 species
AUUGUUGCAAACUCCAUUAGAAAUUUGAAUUGAGAUCAGUUUUGGAAAAAGGGAAAGGGGGAUGUGAAAAAAAAUGGGGGGGGGGGGGGGUUAAAUUUUUCUCAUUCAUUUCAGAUUUCAUCAUAUAAUAGAAAGAAAAUUUCUUCAAACAUUUUUUUGAGAGGAUUAAUAUUCAACAGCAUAGUGAAUUGCUCAAAGGCAAAAAAAAUAUUUUAAGUUCAUUAGACCACAUUCAUUCUGUGUCAGAAACCUAUACUGUGUCAACUAUUUAAUCACAAUCCAAAUUUAGAGCUGAACCCAGCUUGAAUGUUGUGUCCAUACUUGCCCCAACC